GGGGUAAAAUUAAUAAAUUAUAAAUAAUAAAAAAAUUUAAUAUUAGGGGUAUUAAAGUAUUUUUUUAGAAAAAAUAUAAUUUUUAUAGUUAAUUAGUAUUGUAAAAUAAUUUUGAAAUAAAUGAAAAUAAAUUAAUUAAAAAGUAAUUUUUAAUUAAUGUAUCUUGUGUAUCAGAGUUUAUUAAAAAAUAUUUUUUUUAAAAAAAAAUCUCGAAUUUAAAAGGGUUAAUUAAUUAAAAAAUUUAAUGUUGAAUAAUUAUUUUAAAUAAUUAAUUAGAAAUGAAAUGUUAAUCGUUUUUAAAUAUAUCUAGUUUAUUUAGAAAUAAAUUUAAUUUAAAAUUUAAAAAAUUUUAUUAUAAUUUAUAAAAUAAUAAAAUUUUAAAAUUAAAUAUAUUAAGGGAUAAGCUUUAGUAUAAAAUUUUAUAAUUAAUUCAAAAUAAUAGUAAAAAUUUUAAAAUUUAUAUUGUUUAAAAAUUUUAAUUUAUUAUAAAAAAUUUUAUUUUUAUUAAAAUUUAAAUAAAUUUAAUUUUUUAUAAAUAAAUAAUUUUUAAUAAAAUAAAAUUAGAAAUAAUGAUAAAAUUAGUAUAUUAAGUUAAAAAUGAAAUUUAUUUAAUUAUAAUUAAAUAAAAGGAAUUCGGCAAAUAUUUAUAUUCACUUGUUUAUCAAAAACAUGUCUUUUAGAAAAUAAUUUAAAGUCUAAUCUGCCCACUGAUAGAAUAUUAAAGGGCUGCAGUAUAUUGACUGUACAAAGGUAGCAUAAUCAUUAGUCUUUUAAUUGAAGACUUGUAUGAAAGAUUUGAUGAAAUGUAAACUGUCUCUAAUUUAUAUUAUAAAAUUUAAUUUUUUAGUUAAAAAGCUAAAAUUUAUUUAAAAGACGAGAAGACCCUAUAGAGUUUUAUAUUAAAAUUAUUUAAGAUUAUAUUUAUAAAUAAAAAUUAAAAAUAAUAAAAAUAUUUUGUUGGGGUGAUAAAAAAAUUAAAAUAACUUUUUUUAUAAUAAUACAUAAAUAAGUGAAAAAUUGAUCCAUUAUUUAUGAUUAAAAGAAAAAAUUACCUUAGGGAUAACAGCGUAAUAUUUUUUUUUAGUACAAAUAAAAAAAAAAGUUUGCGACCUCGAUGUUGGAUUAAGAUAAAAUUUAAAUGCAAAAGUUUAAAAUUUUGAUCUGUUCGAUCAUUAAAAUCUUACAUGAUCUGAGUUCAAACCGGUGUGAGCCAGGUUGGUUUCUAUCUUUAAAAUUUAAAAAUAUUUUAGUACGAAAGGAUCAAAUAUUGUUAAUAAUUAAAUUUAAAUUGAAUAUUAAUAAUUUAAUAUUAUA
rnacentral:rRNA from 1 species